rnacentral:rRNA from 1 species
ACUACACUCCUACGGGAGGCAGCAGUGGGGAAUUUUGGACAAUGGGCGAAAGCCUGAUCCAGCAAUGCCGCGUGCAGGAUGAAGGCCUUCGGGUUGUAAACUGCUUUUGUACGGAACGAAAAAGCUCCUUCUAAUACAGGGGGCCCAUGACGGUACCGUAAGAAUAAGCACCGGCUAACUACGUGCCAGCAGCCGCGGUAAUACGUAGGGUGCGAGCGUUAAUCGGAAUUACUGGGCGUAAAGCGUGCGCAGGCGGUUAUGUAAGACAGAUGUGAAAUCCCCGGGCUCAACCUGGGAACUGCAUUUGUGACUGCAUGGCUAGAGUACGGUAGAGGGGGAUGGAAUUCCGCGUGUAGCAGUGAAAUGCGUAGAUAUGCGGAGGAACACCGAUGGCGAAGGCAAUCCCCUGGACCUGUACUGACGCUCAUGCACGAAAGCGUGGGGAGCAAACAGGAUUAGAUACCCUGGUAGUCCC